CUGCUCCUCCCCGAGGCCCCUCGCUCGAUCUGGACCAGCAGGUCCCGAGCGCCUCGGCCUGCUCCUCACGCCGGCGUCCCGCGCCACUGCCGCCGACCUCCAGUCGUUGUCCAUUACCCUCUCCCCCACACUCUAUCUCUCUUCUUCUCCCUUUCUUUUCUCUCUCUCAAAUCUUGUCUCUGUCAGGAACGACAGCGCCAUGGAUCCCGAUGUGAAGCUUCACUGCAGCCUGAUCUGACCUGGGAGGGGGUCGCGUUGCGCUCGGGCGCCGCAUCAGGUGGCGGUGGCGAGGUGGGAGGGGAGCACGGAGAUGGGCGCGCGGAGACGAAGGAGGAGAAAAAUGGAGAGGCGGGGAGGCUACGCUCGGGGUCCGCAUCAGGCGGCGACAGCGAAGCGGGAGGUGCGCACGGAGACGAAGGACCCGAGAAUGGAGGCGUCCGGGAGCGAGGACUUCGUCGGCGUCAAAGCCACUGCCAGGCGGGACGCGCAGGCGCGCGAGGGGCGCAUGGCUCCUCUCCUGGUGCGGCACACGAGGGAAUGAGGUGGGGAUCGAGCUGCCGGCACACCACCCGCCGUUCACCCUUGCUCCACACUUCGUCGGAACUCCAUCUGUUGGUUCUGCACUUAGGCCCAAGUUGAGCAUAUGUUAGAUGGUCUGGAUGACAUGGAUGGUGCCGAGGAUGUCCCUUUUGAUGAGCUCAUAGGCAUGCAAGGCUUAGUAUUUCACUUGGUUGAGAAUGCAAUUACAAUAACCCUCCCAACUACAAUGUUGCACCUGACAACCUCCUACUUAACGAGGCCAAGCUAUCUGCAGGGGACCAUGCCAUUGGACGUUCCUAAGAGGUGUGCUGCUAGAUGACCUUCUUGCUGCUGAAACAACAAAUGCUUGUAACUGCAGCUCCUGCUAACAUGCAAGCUGGAUGAGCACCGGGCAUAUUUGCUACGAUGAUGAACAAACAUGCAAAUGACUGCAGAAACAACAGCUGAUGGAGCUGUGGUUCUUGGAAACCCAGUUGCUCCUCCUGUUAAUGGGGAUGUGUAUGCGGAUAUCAGCCCUGAGAAUGUUGUGGUCCAGUGACACCGAGAAGAUAGUGCAAAUGUGCUAAUUAUUUGGUUGAAGCAUCUGCUGCAGAGGUUGAGGUAAUUAGUGCUACUUUAGCUGCUAUAAAGGCCAGACAAGUUGGAGAUGAGAUGAGCAUUUUAUCAUAUUGCUUUGCCUGUAAUAACCAAAAUUGAUUGAUUUAGUUUCACACAACAUAGAUAAUUAUAUCGUCAGGUUCAAUUUUACUUAUGAAAGUUGAACAUUUCUUAUCUUGUUAGAUUUCCUCUUUGUAAGUUCUAGGACUUUAGUUAAUUGAAUAUCUUAAGGCAUGCAUGCCAGAACUUUCCAGAUGGUAACACUUGAUGCAAUUCUGUUCCUACUAUUCUUACCUUAUAUUACCUGGACGACCUUCAAGCAUCAAUAACUUAAUCCUUUUAGGUUUUCUACUUCUUUCUCCAGUACAGACAUAAUAUUGUUUGGUGCUUCCCAAUAUUUGGACGUGAAAGUAGAGAAGCUUUACAUUUCAAGAAAUAUUAGAUUAUCAAUAAGAAAAUAUGGUCCAAGCCGGACUACUACUUCUAAAUGUUUUGUUUUUCACCAAAGGGGAUAUUUUACUUGUCGCCGUGUAACCCGAUGAUAGUAGGAUGGUAAAUAACUACAUCCUUUUUCGGCAUGGCAAAAAAAAUACAUCCUACCCAUUUGAUGAUUUGCAACUGCAGCUGAACAAUAAUGAAAGAAAAAAGAGUACAUGCUUUACAUAAUGUACCUACAACAACAAUAGGUUGCCCCACCAAACAUCACCAGAGGACUGAGAAGGAAAACGACGCUUCCUCAGUCAGGUUCUAUUGGCCGUUGUAGCAUUAGCAUGAUGAAGAUUCUGGAACAGUGCAUGACAUGUCCAAGCCCAAGGUCUUCCCUUAGUGUGAAGCACCUGAGCUGGCGUCGAGCAAUAUCCCUUGAAUAUUAUUUCAUUGUGUUCUUUCUAGGUGUGCAACCAUAUCAGCUGCAACAAGGAGCUCCAUGCACGGGGCACGGCGGUACUACUUCCCACAAAACCUAUUAUAAACAGUGUGCUAGCUACCAGGAAUGUGCAGAUUCAUGGAAGAGCUUUGUGCAAAAAAUUAGGAGAAAGAGAAACAUAAGAGACAUUUCAGCAAGUUUACUUAUGGAGGCAAAAAAUAAUUCUACUUAUCACUGUAAUACGAGUUGUAAUAAAUAAGAA